AAAGCCCUGAUCCUAAGGGGAGGUGGCAGGAGAAAAAAGAAUGGCCUACUGAAGGGCCACUCGCUCCUUCAAGGAGGUAAGAAUCUGAGAGAAGCAAAAACCACCAUGAGAUAGAUGACAAGAGGCAGGAGCUGGGGCAAGACCAAAGUGCAAUAUUAAAGUCAUGAUGUUUGACUGGAAGACAGAUAGCACCUGUGGUACAGAACAUUAAGGUCAAGAUCUUGAGGCCUCCUGGGUCUGGCAGAUGUCUGGUUUUCAGGUUUUCCCCACUCCAUCCAAUUGUGAGGUGAAGUCCCAAGGGAUUUCAUCAAGUCAGUUUUUGUAAAUGAGCUGUGUUUGUGCUCUUAUUGUUGCUGCUCCUACAAACACAAUGUUAGCUGCACAGGGUCCUUUUCUGGUAUGUACCUGAGACCAGCACUGAA